rnacentral:misc_RNA from 1 species
UUUGAGGUGAAAGGCUCGCUAUGGUGAUUCAUUGAAGCUUACUAAACACAUCACAGAAUAUGGUGGUUCACACAUAGCGGACACACAUCACACUACGUACGCAAUACUGGCACAAGCACAGGAGGAAAACACAGAACACAAUAAACAGACAAAAUGGCCAACCCGGGCAUCGUUGAGGUUAAGCAACCAGCGGCUGGUGUCGACGGUCAGCAAUGGAUGGCAAUGCCGCCGCUGAGUACAGGUUCGACAGGUGUCCCACCAGGCUUGGAAUACCUGAACCAGAUUGACCAGCUCCUCAUACACCAGCAGGUAGAACUCUUGGAACUAAUGACAAGCAUUGAGACCAAGAACCGCUAUGCCAUCAAGAAUACGUUGGGCCAACAGGUGUAUUUUGCUUACGAAGAGUCUGAAUUCUGCCAUCGAAAUUGCUGCGGCUCAGAUCGAGGCUUUGUCAUACAUAUUGUUGACAACCGGUCUCAGGAGGUGAUACGCGUGAUUCGGCCGUUCAAGUGCUGCGCCGGAUGCUGCUGGUGCGCAGACGCAGAUUGCUGCGCUUGUGAAAUCCUAAUUGAGGCGCCGCCGGGCCAAGUCGUAGGCUCCGUCCGACAAUUAGGAAGCAAGUGGAAGCCAAAAUAUGGAAUUCGCAACGAAGGCGGGAACCAAAUCCUCCAGAUAGGCGGUCCCUGCUGCCCAUGUCAGGCUGUCUGCUGCACCGCGGAUGUGGACUUUAAGAUCAAAGGAACUGAUGGAGUGACUGAGGUGGGAAAGAUCACCAAACAGUGGGGUGGUUUCAUUCAAGAGCUCAUCAGCAAGGCAGACAUUUUCUGCUGCACAUUUCCGAUGGAUAUGGAUGUCAAAAUGAAGGCGACCAUAUUGGGUGCUGCUUUCCUUAUCGACUUCAUGUAUUUUGAGGAAGAGGACAACGACAACUAGUAUGGCACGGGAAGCGUUACUCACGCUCGAACAUCUUGGAUCUGUUUUUCAAAUUAGAAAGACGGGACCAUAAAGUAAUCAACAAAACCAGAUCAUUGUAUGGUAGAUUCAUAAGAACGUCAUAUUUCGGUCUUUUAUUAACAAUAUCUGGUCUUUUAGAUUUUCCCGAGUGUUAUUGCAUAAAGAAAGUAUGUUUAACAGUUAUACAGUAGAAACUAGUGUUAACAUUUUAAGCCUUUUAAAUGCAUUCUGGUAUGAACGCGCUGUGGUGUUCAUAAUCCAAAGCUAAAUCCGUUGUGGUGUUUAUCUUUUAAACAAAGAUGUGUUGACGUGUUUAGACACAAAUGGGUGUUAACAACAAGACACAAAACGCGUUUAUGGGGUUGUAACAACUUCUUAAUACCAAAACACGAGUCUUAGUAUUCUCUUAUAUCAGCAGGGAUUUAAAAGAGAAUAUGUACCUGCAGAACCCCAUCUCCCUCCGAGCUCUGUCUACCAAUCUGCUCCGUGCGUUUCGAGAAAUUUUCCAUUUGGUGGCCCUAUUUUUUUGUUGAUGCGUGUGUUUGUCGAUGAUUAUUUCUGAACUCUACGACACAUUUUGAACAUGCGCACUCCUAAUUAUCAACGAAGUUUAGGACCAACAGAAUAGCAAUUGUUUUCGACUGGGCAUUAGCACGUUGUUUGAAACUAGACCGUGCUUCUGCCGCACUUAAUGAUAUUAGCACGGCAGACCCUAUCGAACCAAAAUCCUCUGCCGUACCGAAAUCAGUUUGCCGAGACAAUGGGUUUCAAACGUUGAAUUGUAUUCUAUGGGGCAUAAGCACGACGUUUGACACGGGCCUAAGCAUGCAAUCAACGAGGGCAUUUUUAACGGAUACAUUAUCAUAUAGUUUCGUGUCGACGUGUAACUUGUUUACAAAAAAAAUUAAUUUGCAUAUCUACCAUGAUUUUCUUUUUAUGUGCUGAUUUUGAUAGCUUAAUCUUAUAAUAAACGUAAAUAAUAAUAAUAACCUUGUAAGGCACACUGUUAAUGUCUAACGCUCAUCGCUGAGGAUAUUUUUAUGGGAUCUAGGCGAUAUGCCCAGACGGUAUCUCAACCGUUAACCUUCCCGUUUAAAUUUACCACCGUGAUUUGGAAUAAUAUGUUUCGAAACUGCAUUUGUUGCUGAAUUCCACAAAAGGUUUUACUGUCAUUUCCAGUUCGGUGUUAGUGUACAUUACGAAAAAUUAAUUCAGGCGUGGUAUCUUGACAUAAAUGGACAUUAACAGGGUGAACAAGCUGAGAAUUCCUAAAAGGCCGAGAACUCCAAAGUUGCUCUCGCAACCUGCUGCAUAUUUUGUUAGAUGUAGCUCUACUAACUAUUCAACGUAAAUUUCUAUUUAUUCAGGUUCAGCUAAUACGAUCGUUAUGUUUUUCGUGUGGUUAUUAUUAACCUUGUUUUCCUUUUUAUGAAGAAUUUCAUCCUACCGAUCGUCUAAAUUAUUAGAUCAGUAAGAUUUUAAGCUCAUUUUAACCAGUUAAUCCUUUUGAGCAAAUUGAUGAGUGAAAUUUAACUAUAGGAUUUUUCGUUUUGGAGACAUAGGAAUGAUUGCAUAGCCAGGAUAGUGUUAGCAUGUGGCCCCUUUCCCCUAGUAAAACUAUGCAUUAAGAUAAGAUAUUGAUUUUUCUUAUUUGUGUGUUGAUUUAUCAUCACGUCUUUAUCAUGGCGCUGGAACAAAAUUAUUUACAAAUGAAAUUAAGACGUUGGACGUUUAUUAAAGUUUGCUUCAGGGAAAUGAUCAUAAAUUGCACAUUUUUAUUAAAUCGAAAAGAGAAAUUUAAUAUCAAAUUACCACCAUCCGAGAGAAAAACACCUCAAAUCAUACGAGUUUACUCUGAAAGAAAAAAAAAUACCAUAUAAAAAAUGAAAUUCCAACACAAAUAGAUCAGGAAAGACAAAGAGAGUGGAUAUAGGUAACAGGAAAUGUUAAAGAAACACCUAAAUAGUAAAAUUGUAUUUAUUAUUACAAGACUGAUAUUUACUCGGUUUGGCAGACUUGUACAUUAAUUGCACAAGGAUAUUGAAACUGAGGUUUUGGCCUCUUUCUGGCUUUUAUUUUAGGAACGAAACUGCAAAAAGGGAAUAAGUAGUUGGGUAGGCCGUUAACACUGAUACAUGUAUUUGAAAGGUCUAAACGAAGGAUAAUCAAUGCCAUGUUCUUUAAUGCUUUCAUUGUAAAUAAACUACCCCUUUUACGGUCAAUGAAUUAGAAAUGUAUAACAAGCCACUGU